GAUGAACGCUGGCGGCGUGCCUAAUACAUGCAAGUCGAGCGAACAGACGAGGAGCUUGCUCCUCUGACGUUAGCGGCGGACGGGUGAGUAACACGUGGAUAACCUACCUAUAAGACUGGGAUAACUUCGGGAAACCGGAGCUAAUACCGGAUAAUAUAUUGAACCGCAUGGUUCAAUAGUGAAAGACGGUUUUGCUGUCACUUAUAUAUGGAUCCGCGCCGCAUUAGCUAGUCGGUAAGGUAACGGCUUACCAAGGCAACGAUGCGUAGCCGACCUGAGAGGGUGAUCGGCCACACUGGAACUGAGACACGGUCCAGACUCCUACGGGAGGAAGCAGUAGGGAAUCUUCCGCAAUGGGCGAAAGCUUGACGGAGCAACGCCGCGUGAGUGAUGAAGGUCUUCGGAUCGUAAAACUCUGUUAUUAGGGAAGAACAAAUGUGUAAGUAACUAUGCAAGUCUUGACGGUACCUAAUCAGAAAGCAACGGCUAACUACGUG
rnacentral:rRNA from 1 species